GGAGUAUAAAUAGAAGCGUUCGCAAGCUCCAACCUCCAUUCAUCAGCCGUCGCACACCACUUUCCCAAAACCCUCUCCAAUCUCUCAUUUCCAGCUCUUAAAAUCUAUCACUUCAAUUGCAGAAAAUGGUACACAGGUGCUCUGUCGCCCCCAUGACAAGCAAUUCUUCAUGAAUGGUGUGGGUGAUUCUUGCUCUGUUUCUGCACUUUUUAUUUUUGUUUCUUAGAUAUGAAUGAUCUUAGUAAGAUAACAUCUUUUGGAUGUUAUCUUUUUUGGCUUUAUUGGAAUGGGUGGACUCGGAAAUAUGAUACUUGGAUGUUUUCUACGGACGUUUGUUGGUUUAACUAAAUUUCUAGUUCUAGAUGAUGUAUGGAACGAGAAUUUAGUUAAAUUAUGUAGUCCCAAAUUUAAUCGCUGUAGGUGAAUUUUCCAAGUAUUUAGAUUAGUUUUAAAUAUUUUGAUUUUGAGUUGAAGUAUAAACAAGGAGAUUGGUGAUUCUAAAUGACCGUCAAGUUCAAUUGACGUAAAUUACGAAAGUUCUUUUUUCCUUGUGGUUUGUUUCCUGUGUCUUUCAACUUAAUUUGUUCCGGUUAUCGUUUUUUUGAGAGUUUGAAUGAAGACGCACACGGAUCUAAGCGCGGUUAGCUUAAAUUUUUGUAAGCUUGACGGAAAGCUAAAUAUAUGUAAUUUGUCUUGUGGUUUGCUUCCAGACCAAAAGUGAUUCCAACUUUUAUAAGUUACACAAAAUAAAUCAAAAGUUAUAUUCAUUGUUUUUA